rnacentral:rRNA from 1 species
AUUGAACGCUGGCGGCAGGCUUAACACAUGCAAGUCGAACGGUAACAUAAAGAAGCUUGCUUCUUUGAUGACGAGUGGCGGACGGGUGAGUAAUGCUUGGGAAUCUAGCUUAUGGAGGGGGAUAACUACGGGAAACUGUAGCUAAUACCGCGUAAUAUCGAAAGAUUAAAGUGUGGGACCUUCGGGCCACAUGCCAUAGGAUGAGCCCAAGUGGGAUUAGGUAGUUGGUGAGGUAAGGGCUCACCAAGCCGACGAUCUCUAGCUGGUCUGAGAGGAUGACCAGCCACACUGGGACUGAGACACGGCCCAGACUCCUACGGGAGGCAGCAGUGGGGAAUAUUGCGCAAUGGGGGCAACCCUGACGCAGCCAUGCCGCGUGAAUGAAGAAGGCCUUCGGGUUGUAAAGUUCUUUCGGUAGCGAGGAAGGCGUUUAGUUUAAUAGACUAGGUG